rnacentral:rRNA from 1 species
AUGCCUUUUCAAACUCUUUUGUGGCAAAAGUUGGCAUUUUCUUUAACAUUCUAUUAUUUCAAUUAUAUAUCUUCUAUUGCUUUCUCCCGGAGGCAUUGUGUUGCUGCUCUCUUCAAACCUUCUUCUUGCUCUUGUCAAGAGCAUGUUUUUUUCGUGCUUAUCCAUUUAACCGGAGUGCUGUCUGAGAUCUUUCUUACCCCUUAUUCCAUUCAUUCAAUAGUUACGGAGGUAGUGUAUUGUGAUUUCAUCAAGUAUCUUCUCAUCUUAUCAAGUUCUUAUUCAAUUUCUUUUCUUUUCAAUCGGAGUGCUGCCCGAAGUUGUUCUUCCUUGUUCCUCUUUUCUAAUGGAGUGUUUUCAACUUCGUUCAUCUCCGUCGUAUUCUUUUCUCGAAAUGGCUAA